AGCAGCCGCGGUAAUUCCAGCUCCAAUAGCGUAUAUUAAAGUUGUUGCAGUUAAAAAGCUCGUAGUUGAAUUUCGGGAUCAGUGGGUCGGUCGUGCCACUGGUAUGCACUGGCCCUACUGGUUCCUCCUUCUUGAAGAACUGUAAUGCCAUUAAUUUGGUGUUGCAGGGAAACAGGACUGUUACUUUGAAAAAAUUAGAGUGUUUAAAGCAGGCAAUCGCUUGAAUACAUUAGCAUGGAAUAAUGAAAUAGGACGUUCGAUCCUAUUUUGUUGGUUUCUAGGAUUGACGUAAUGAUUAAUAGGGAUAGUUGGGGGCAUUAGUAUUCAAUUGUCAGAGGUGAAAUUCUUGGAUUUAUUGAAGACUAACUACUGCGAAAGCAUUUGCCAAGGAUGUUUUCAUUAAUCAAGAACGAAAGUUAGGGGAUCGAAGACGAUCAGAUACCGUCGUAG
rnacentral:rRNA from 1 species